AAACUGCGUUACACACGCUGUUGUUUUGGUAGUGUAGCAGCUAGCUACUUCCUGAAACCGUCAAGUAAGGGAGCUCACAUGGAUCAAUACACGUAGGUUCGACUGUGGAAGUUGCAGGGAAGCAAAGGCGAUGGGAGGCGAAAUGUUUGAACCCAUACUGUUAAAUGGCAGGUGACUCUAUAGCUGGAACAAAAUCAUGAAAGGUGAAAGAAGCGGCUCCUCUGCGUUCAACUGCUUCCAGAUGUGGAAUGCCAGAGAUAAUCUGUCGUUUUGGAUCUAAAUGAGAGCGGGUGUCUUGCAGAAGCAAGGUCCAGAUCCGGCUCCCAGAUUGUAGACAUCCUACACGUGCGCAAGGGCAAACCUGAUGUCGUCAUGGGAGCAGCAUAAUGGGCGCUGAGACGACAGCAGUCCUAUAGAAAACAUCAUUCUCCAUCCCCGUGUUCAAGGGUAUGGCCUUUGUAAGCCAGUUGGGCCUAAUGGAGUAAUUGUAUUGCUCUGAUUUUCUCUGCAGUUGAAGAAUAAAAUGGCUCAAAAGCUACUUUAUUUACCUGCACAAAACAACUGUGUUGUUAGCAGUUAUGAUUAAAUACC